GGAGGAAAAGAAACCAACAGGGAUUGCCUCAGUAGCGGCGAGUGAAGCGGCAAAAGCUCAAAUUUGAAAUCUGGCGUCUUUGGCGUCCGAGUUGUAAUUUGAAGAAGGUAUCUUUGGGCCCGGCUCUUGUCUAUGUUCCUUGGAACAGGACGUCACAGAGGGUGAGAAUCCCGUGCGAUGAGAUGACCCGGGUCUGUGUAAAGUUCCUUCGACGAGUCGAGUUGUUUGGGAAUGCAGCUCUAAGUGGGUGGUAAAUUCCAUCUAAAGCUAAAUAUUGGCGAGAGACCGAUAGCGAACAAGUACAGUGAUGGAAAGAUGAAAAGAACUUUGAAAAGAGAGUGAAAAAGUACGUGAAAUUGUUGAAAGGGAAGGGCUUGAGAUCAGACUUGGUAUUUUGCAUGCUGCUCUCUCGGGGGCGGCCGCUGCGGUUUACCGGGCCAGCAUCGGUUUGGAGCGGCAGGAUAAUGGCGGAGGAAUGUGGCACGGCUUCUGCUGUGUGUUAUAGCCUCUGACGAUACUGCCAGCCUAGACCGAGGACUGCGGUUUUUACCUAGGAUGUUGGCAUAAUGAUCUUAAGUCGCCCG
rnacentral:rRNA from 1 species